rnacentral:rRNA from 1 species
CCUACGGGAGGCAGCAGUGGGGAAUAUUGCACAAUGGGCGAAAGCCUGAUGCAGCAACGCCGCGUGAAGGAAGAAGGGUUUCGGCUCGUAAACUUCUAUCAACAGGGACGAAAGAAAUUACGGUACCUGAAUAAGAAGCCCCGGCUAACUACGUGCCAGCAGCCGCGGGAAUACGUAGGGGGCAAGCGUUCUCCGGAAUUACUGGGUGUAAAGGGUGAGUAGGCGGGAUGGUAAGCCAGAUGUGAAAGCCUUGGGCUUAACCCGAGGAUUGCAUUUGGAACUAUCAAGCUAGAGUACAGGAGAGGAAAGCGGAAUUCGUAGUGUAGCGGUGAAAUGCGUAGAUAUUAGGAAGAACACCAGUGGCGAAGGCGGCUUUCUGGAAUGAAACUGACGCUGAGGCACGAAAGCGUGGGGAGCGAACAGGAUUAGAUACCCGAGUAGUC